rnacentral:rRNA from 1 species
GACGGGUACGGGUUGUGAGAGCAAGAGCCCGGAGAUGGAUUCUGAGACACGAAUCCAGGCCCUACGGGGUGCAGCAGGCGCGAAAACUUUACAAUGCUGGAAACAGCGAUAAGGGGACCUCGAGUGCCAGGUUACAAAUCUGGCUGUCGUGAUGCCUAAAAAGCAUUGCAUAGCAAGGGCCGGGCAAGACCGGUGCCAGCCGCCGCGGUAACACCGGCGGCUCGAGUGGUAACCGUUAUUAUUGGGUCUAAAGGGUCUGUAGCCGGCCGGAUAAGUCUCUUGGGAAAUCUGGCAGCUUAACUGUCAGGCUUUCAGGAGAUACUGUCUGGCUCGAGGCCGGGAGAGGUGAGAGGUACUUCAGGGGUAGGGGUGAAAUCUUGUAAUCCUUGAAGGACCACCAGUGGCGAAGGCGUCUCACCAGAACGGACCUGACGGCAAGGGACGAAAGCUAGGGGCACGAACCGGAUUAGAUACCCGGGUAGUCCUAGCCGUAAACGAUACUCGCUAGGUGUCGGCAACGGUGCGACCGUUGUCGGUGCCGUAGGGAAGCCGUGAAGCGAGCCACCUGGGAAGUACGGCCGCAAGGCUGAAACUUAAAGGAAUUGGCGGGGGAGCAC